AAGAAAAAGUUUUAUACAUUUUAACAUUUUUUUCGACCAAUGAAAAAGAAGCAUUUAUUUCUUUUAAGCUCGCGAUAUUCGGCACAAACUGGAUUAUUCAGUCUUCACUCUAGAACGUACACACGUGGAUCAAAUUAGAGCUAGCUAGAUCUAGAUCUAAAUCUGUUAAGUUAUUAGUUAUACUACAAGUUAUAGAGCUAUAGUCACUCUAGGUCUAGUCAAUCUAGACUUUCAUUAAUAUAAUAGAUCUAUUAUAAAUAAUUAUAUGAGCUGUACUUCUUGAUAUCAAUGCAUAUCAUCGGCAUAUGUUCUUCAACUCAUGGCAGCAGCCAUGGAAAUUAAAUUGGAAUGAGUUGAAGAUAUCUACUUGGUAGUCUAAACCUCAAAGGAGCUUAGGGAAGUGAUGGCAGUUGCAGGGUAUGAACCAGACGACCAUGCAGAGACCAAUGAGGCGACCAAACAGUCCAUCGUGCAUACCAUAUAACCAGGUCCAGAAUGUCAGUUUUCUUUAAGGGCAGCUGACAAUAAGAAUUGUCUAUGUAUGCACUACAGAUGCUGUUCAAUAUCUUUUCAUGAGGAAGCCUGCUCAAAAAGAUCGCCACAUUUUCUUUAGGGGAAGUUGACAUUAAUCUUUUAGGUUAAUAAUAACCUAUGCAUGCAGUACAGAUGCUGUUCAUCAUCUUUUCAUAAGCAAGCCUGCUCAAGAAGCUGCUGCAUGGAAGUCAAAAUAUGAAUUAUUGCCACCAGUCUUGAAGUCAGCUUGUAAAGAAUGCUAAGAAUUGAAUGAAAAUGCUGUCUUGAUAUCUUGUUUGCGCUGUUAUAUUUGUCUUUUGUGUUGGUUAAUUAUUCCAUGAAUAAAAAAUAAAAAAAAGUUAAUUGUGUAAGUUUGAUUUAAGAAUAAAUGAUCAGAGCAUGCAAGUCUUAUAUAGUACGUUACCAAAAAUUGUAUUGUUUGCUAGUGUUCAAACCCAAAAAUGUAAUUUAACUUGUUCAUUACUUUAUAAAUAUGUUGACAUUAUAGCUAGAUGUAUAUAGAAAUCAUGCACUGAUUCAAUUAUUAUAAUUUCCAAACAAUUAUGUCAAAUAAUUCUAUUGCUAGAUCUAAAUCAUCAGUGUGAAAUUAGACCUAUGUAAAAGGUUAAAAAUCUCAUACUAAACCAUUGAGCUGCAUUUGAACAAAAAGGGCAUUAUAAACAAAAAAUCACUAAUGAAUUUGUUUUAAACUACAGUAUUGAAAAACAUUAAAGAUUAUUCCUAAUUAAGCCAUAAUAAAAUUUAAUGACUGAACCAUCGGAGACAGUAUUUGCAUGAUAAUACAUAAUUUAGCCCUAAUAA